AUUGGACGCUGGCGGCAGGCCUAACACAUGCAAGUCGAGCGGAUGAAGGGAGCUUGCUCCUGGAUUCAGCGGCGGACGGGUGAGUAAUGCCUAGGAAUCUGCCCGGUAGUGGGGGAUAACGUCCGGAAACGGGCGCUAAUACCGCAUACGUCCUGAGGGAGAAAGUGGGGGAUCUUCGGACCUCACGCUAUCAGAUGAGCCUAGGUCGGAUUAGCUAGUUGGUGGGGUAAGGGCCUACCAAGGCGACGAUCCGUAACUGGUCUGAGAGGAUGAUCAGUCACACUGGAACUGAGACACGGUCCAGACUCCUACGGGAGGCAGCAGUGGGGAAUAUUGGACAAUGGGCGAAAGCCUGAUCCAGCCAUGCCGCGUGUGUGAAGAAGGUCUUCGGAUUGUAAAGCACUUUAAGUUGGGAGGAAGGGCAGUAAGUUAAUACCUUGCUGUUUUGACGUUACCAACAGAAUAAGCACCGGCUAACUUCGUG
rnacentral:rRNA from 1 species